GUGACAUCCUCACUUGGGCUCUUGGCUGGGAAAGUGGCGGCUUCCCUCUUCCAGUUUUGGUAACCAGGAAAGGGGGUUCUGAACCCCUCAAUCUUCUGAUCUUCUCUGCAAAAGACGCUGGAGAUGAAGGCCCCCUUGAACUGUGAUUUUUUGCAAAUGAACUUUAUUAAACUCUCAGUGUGCCUUUGAAGCUGAGUCAGCUACAAACCUCUCCAGCCAGUCUAGCCCAAAAUGAUAAACUGUGCAGCUGGGACCCUUUCAGAUAAGCAGAAAAUCCUUUCUUCACGGUCUGGCAGUUCCAAGAAGAUGGGCUUCUGCUCUCCUGCUCUCUCUUGCUCUUCCUCCUCCUCCUGCUCUCUUUCUCCUCCCAAGACACUCCCAUUUAGGAGGGGAUUGCCUUUCUCUCCUUCCAUGAAACCUCCCCUUUUGGCUGUAAUGCUUAAACACCCAAGGCCAUGCCUGCAUUGCUGGCCUCUUUUAU